rnacentral:tRNA from 2 species
GACUACUAUGGACUUUUUGACUGCCUUUUAAGCAGUGGGUCCGGGGUUCGAAUCCCCGACGGGUCACCA